CUCCUCUAUCUUGCAGCCAGUUUUCAUGAAACCCUGUGGGAAUGUAAUUAUCACUGAGAUUUCUGCCCUUUGUCAGAUUUGUUUGAUGUUGGCCAAAGCUCCUCCAAGUUACUGGGGAUAAGGGGGAGACAUUGCUAUUGAAUAAAAAUGGCUCAGCAGUCAGAAGAGUUCCUAUGUGCAGCAUGAAUCUAUAUAAUUUGCUUUCAAAGCCGAGCAGGGUAUUAAAACAGGAAAAGACGCAAGGAAGCUACACCCUCCUGAGUGAUUCAGGGACUUCUCGUCCUAAACCUGAGGUCAUCUCCUGUAAUGAGACACAUCUGAAAUGGGGUUUUGCCUCCCUCAGUAAAUAACUCCUUUCUCUGCUUCCAGGAAUGAAUUGUAAGCAGUUGAGGAGAGAGAGGAUAUUGGUGUGGCCGCUUGAUCUGUGUUCAGCGGGGUAAGACAAGCUGAAAAUUACCCUGUUGUGGAAUUUGCUUGUGAAAAUUUCUUACAGAUUCUGACCACAGAUUACACUGGAGCAGAUCAAGAGAGAGUAUACUCAAGUAAAUUUGGUUUGCCUGAACUUAAAUCGGUAUUGCUGAAAGCAGGAUUUGGUCCUUAGGCCCUCACUGAGGAAAGCACCUGUUUGGAAGGGUGCUCACACACUGGCUUGACUUACUUCCAUGCUUCAGAAAGCACUUCCCUAAUUUACGGGCUUCAUGCACAUUAUUGAAUGGUAGCGAAUUAACUGGAGGUGAAAACAAUUCCAGCACAUUUCUUCAGCUGCUGGCAAUACAUGUAACUCCAUUGUCUUUAAUAACGAGUGCUAAUUUUACACCUGUUAAGGACUUGAUAAAGAGUAGUGUUGGCAGCCUAGUGCCUUCUGGGGUGGAUAAUGAGCCAUUUUGUGCCUCUGAGUUUGAUUUCUCACUUGCUUGUGCUGGCUGGAGCAUUAGGAGGUCUCUGCCAUGGCUGAUUUGUACUGAGGUGUGGAUACAGACAGGGAUUUUAAACAGUCGGGGACCCUCUCCACCCUCACAGAGCUCCAUGAUACCACCCUUCUUAUGGAGGAGGCUGCACCAUCACACUCCUCUAACUUGUUCUGCCAGAGUAUGAGUGAAGUACUGUUCUGUUUUCAGCUGGGAAGAGGCUGAGUUCUGGGAAGAACCUGAGAUCUGCAAGAGCCCUACGUGUAUGUGCCUUAUUUUCUUUUGGAAAGUAACAGUAGUGUAAAAUGUCUUGUUCCCUCAAAACUUUCAUCAGGAUAGUUUCUUGAGUCUAGACUGGCACAGCAGUCAAACAGAAAUGAAAAAAAUCUUGCAAGGGAAUAGGAAGUGUAAGCUUUUUUAUGUACUAAGUGUUUGUCUUAGUCCUGGGCACUCUCUGUUUAUCACGGCAGGCAAUAGUUUUAAAAUUAAUUAAAGAAAAAAAAAAAAGCAAAAGCAGCAGCGGCUUAAAUAUUGGUCCUCACUGCAUCAAGCUGCACUUGCAAAUGUUAGCAUUUUUGUGUUUGUUUUUCAUCCCUUUCUUGUUAACAGAAAUAUAUGAAUGUUUAAAUGGUGUUAUGUUUAGCUUAUACUUUUACACUUUCUUUAGUAAAGUGUUAUACAGUGUGGUGAGCAUUACUUUGUAAGAUUAUACUUUUGUUGGCACUUUUAUUGGCUGAUUUUAUGACUAUUUUUUUUUUUCUGCCUUGUGUUUUAAGAACUGUCUAUUCUAGUGAAGUUAAGUGCUUUGCUGAAUUUCUUUCUCGAUUGGAGAAAAAGUUGGCCAGACCACCUCAAAAGGAAUAUAUGCUAUAGUAGCUGGCAAUUGAAUUGCCUUAAUUUACUCACUUAUUUAUGCCACCAAAAAUGUUUAAACUACUGGAAACUGCCUAUGAUUAACCAGCAGGGCAUUCUCGUGUAGGAUGGGAGUCCCAUUGGUACAGAUGUGCUAGCUCAAAAUACUGCAUUUAUAAUGCCUGUCUUCCAGCUAAAAAUGCAUGUUUGGAGUGGGAGAUAAUGUGCUGAGGAAAGAGCAUGUUAAAGCAG
rnacentral:lncRNA from 1 species